rnacentral:rRNA from 1 species
AAUUAUGCCGGAUAGUGGCGAAGGGUGAGUAAUGGGUAGGUAACGUACCUCGUGCUUCGGGAUAGCGUUUGUUUACCUUCGGGUAAACUUCCGAAAGGGGCAGUAAUACCGAAUAAUAUCAGGUCUCGUAAGGGAUCUGAUCAAAGAUUUAUCGGCAUAAGAGCGGCCUACCUCCUAUCAGCUUGUUGGUGAGGUAAUGGCUCACCAAGGCUAUGACGGGUAGCGGGACUGAGAGGUUGGCCCGCCACAUCGGGACUGAGACACUGCCCGGACCUCCACGGAGGGCUGCAGUAACGAAUCUUGCGCAAUGGGCGAAAGCCUGACGCAGCGACGCCGCGUGCGGGAAGAAGUCUUUCGGGAUGUAAACCGCUGUCAGGGGGAAGAAAGUGCGCUCCGGCGUAUUGAUCCAACCCAGAGGAAGUCACGGCUAACUUCGUGCCAGCAGCCGCGGUAAGACGAAGGUGGCUAGCGUUGUUCGGUAUUACUGGGCUUAAAGCGUGUGUAGGCGGAAGAGUAAGCGCCUUGUGAAAUCCCUCGGCUUAACCGAGGAAUUGCUUUGCGAACUGCUUUUCUUGAGGCAAGUAGGGGUGCAUGGAACUCUUGGUGGAGCGGUGGAAUGCGUAGAUAUCAAGAGGAACGCCGGUAGUGAAAACGGUGCACUGGGCUUGUCCUGACGCUGAGACACGAAAGCGUGGGUAGCGAACGGGAUUAGAUACCCCGGUAGUCCACGCCGUAAACGAUGCCUACUACGUCGUGGUGGUUCUGACACCAGCACGGCCGAAGCAAAAGUGUUAAGUAGGCCGCCUGGGGAGUACGGUCGCAAGGCUAAAACUCAAAGGAAUUGACGGGGGCUCACACAAGCGGUGGAGCAUGUGGAUCAAUUCCAAGCAACGCGUA